UGGGGAAUUGUUCGCGAUGGGCGCAAGCCUGACGACGCAACGCCGCGUGGAGGAUGAAGAUUUUCGGAUCAUAAACUCCUGUCGAAUGGGACGAACAGAUUGCGGGUUAACAGCCCGUGAUCCUGACGGUACCGUUAAAGGAAACCCCGGCUAACUACGUGCCAGCAGCCGCGGUAAUACGUAGGGUGCAAGCGUUAAUCGGAAUUACUGGGCGUAAAGCGUGCGCAGGCGGCUUUGCAAGACAGAUGUGAAAUCCCCGGGCUCAACCUGGGAACUGCAUUUGUGACUGCAUCGCUAGAGUACGGCAGAGGGGGAUGGAAUUCCGCGUGUAGCAGUGAAAUGCGUAGAUAUGCGGAGGAACACCGAUGGCGAAGGCAAUCCCCUGGGCCUGUACUGACGCUCAUGCACGAAAGCGUGGGGAGCAAA
rnacentral:rRNA from 1 species